AAUGAACGCUGGCGGCAUGCCUAACACAUGCAAGUCGAACGAAGGCUUCGGCCUUAGUGGCGCACGGGUGCGUAACGCGUGGGAAUCUGCCCUCAGGUUCGGAAUAACAGCGAGAAAUUGCUGCUAAUACCGGAUGAUAUCGAGAGAUCAAAGAUUUAUCGCCUGAGGAUUAGUCCGCGUAGGAUUAGCUAGUUGGUGUGGUAAAGGCGCACCACGGCGACGAUCCUUAGCUGGUCUGAGAGGAUGAUCAGCCACACUGGGACUGAGACACGGCCCAGACUCCUACGGGAGGCAGCAGUGGGGAAUAUUGGACAAUGGGCGAAAGCCUGAUCCAGCAAUGCCGGGUGAGUGAUGAAGGCCUUAGGGUUGUAAAGCUCUUUUACCCGGGAAGAUAAUGACAGUACCGGGAGAAUAAGCUCCGGCUAACUCCGUGCCAGCCGCCGCCGUAA
rnacentral:rRNA from 1 species